AAUGCCGUUGUUCCUGUCGUCAGGACUAGGUCGGUCUCGACCAGUUGGGACAGAGCGGUCAGAUCUGCCCGCGCCCCAGUGGCAGGCGACCCGCCUUCCCGCGCCCUCCACACCCUAACGGCCUCCGCUGCGAGUUGGGGCGGUCGCCAUGCUUCCCGGCCCCCCACGCCCGCAGCCACUCAAAUGCGCUGCAUCCUAGCAGCUCGGCAGGGGCUUAGUUUAGGCCCCGCAGGGCUGGGCCGGGAGACAUGGAGGCCGGCGGGGUCUGGGCUGAGAGAGGAGCUGCCAUCAGUCACCGAGGUGUCCCUCUCACUGGAAACUUGUUUUCACUGGCAGACACCAUUGUGGCUUUUGUCUGACUACUGUGUCCAGUUCAUUCCUACCAAGAUUGCCACUCUCUAAGGGAGCCUUGUCCAGAAAAAAAAAUUAAUUUCAGGAAAAAUCUUGGAAUUGAAUUUAAAAGACAACUGGGAAGGCAUAAAUAAUAUAGUUGUCUUGUACAUUUGAGCCUUAGCCCCACGGGAAACUGAAAAAAAAAAUCGGACGGCUCAGUAAAACCUCUUCCUUUCGUUGUAAAUGUUACUCACAGCAUCUUUUCCCAUGUUUGUUGGUGAUAAAUUCACUGUCAUCUCAGUAAGAGUAUAACAUCAUGCUGAAGAUAUUUCUGUGAAGAGUUUUGUACUGAGAACAUCAUACCAGGACAACUCCUUGAAGGGCAUUAAUUGCAGCUUUGGGAUUUAUACUCCCAAAGGCUGCAGUCAAUGAAAGAGUAUCCCAUUAUUCUUUUUGUUUCCAUAAAGAUUACGUUUGCUCUGGGA